UCCGGCUUCCAUACGAUCACCGAAGUUAAACAACGUCGAAUCUGUCAGUACCUAGAUGGGUGACCGCUUAGGAAUACCAGCUGCUGUAAG